CUGCCGAUAAACGCCAUAGGAGAGGUGCGUUUGAUUUACUGCACAACGGCAGGUUUUCAGAAAGGGCACAUUUCCAAAAUGCCACCAAUAAAUAAAUGAAACUAUAUAAUUUACUCAUUGUCUGUGUGAUCAUAAAGUCUGAAAAACAGCGGAGUCGUGCACUUUUGUGCACGUUUGUGGUGAG